AGAAUCAACGCUGGCGGCGUGCCUAACACAUGCAAGUCGAGCGCGAAAGGGGAGCAAUCCCCGAGUAGAGCGGCGAACGGGUGAGUAACGCGUGGGUAAUCUACCUCCGAGUGGGGAACAACAGCGGGAAACUGCUGCUAAUACCGCAUGACAUCGUCGAGCCUUCGGGCCUGACGAUCAAAGCCGGGACCGCAAGGCCUGGCGCUUGGAGAGGAGCCCGCGUCCGAUUAGCUAGUGGCGGGUAAUGCCCACAAGGCUCGAUCGGUA
rnacentral:rRNA from 1 species